rnacentral:rRNA from 1 species
UAAUUGAAGAGUUUGAUCAUGGCUCAGAUUGAACGCUGGCGGCAGGCCUAACACAUGCAAGUCGAACGGUAGCACAGAGAGCUUGCUCUUGGGUGACGAGUGGCGGACGGGUGAGUAAUGUCUGGGAAACUGCCCGAUGGAGGGGGAUAACUACUGGAAACGGUAG